AGCGAACGCUGGCGGCAGGCCUAACACUUGCAAGUCGAACGGCAGCACGGGAGCAAUCCUGGUGGCGAGUGGCGAACGGGUGAGUAAAGUAUCGGAACGUGCCCAGUCGUGGGGGAUAACGUAGCGAAAGCUACGCUAAUACCGCAUACGAUCUAUGGAUGAAAGCGGGGGAUCGCAAGACCUCGCGCGAUUGGAGCGGCCGAUAUCAGACUAGGUAGUUGGUUGGGUAAAGGCCCACCAAGCCGACGAUCUGUAGCUGGUCUGAGAGGACGACCAGCCAAACUGGGACUGAGACACGGCCCAGACUCCGACGGGAGGCAGCAGUGGGGAAUUUUGGACAAUGGGCGCAAGCCUGAUCCAGCAAUGCCGCGUGCAGGAUGAAGGCCUUCGGGUUGUAAACUGCUUUUGUACGGAGCGAAAAGGCUCUCUCUAAUACAGGGGGCUCAUGACGGUACCGUAAGAAUAAGCACCGGCUAACUACGUGCCAGCAGCCGCCGUAACAC
rnacentral:rRNA from 1 species